GCCGAAUUAGCUUAGUGGUAGAGCAUCGCACUUGUAAUGCGGAGGUCGUGAGUUCAAUUCUCACAUUCGGCU
rnacentral:tRNA from 1 species